rnacentral:tRNA from 1 species
UGGAUCACCUCCUAACAGGGAGACAAACAACGAUUUUGAUGUCUGAGUUAUUUAUUCUUAGGCCAAAAUCCUGUCACCUUAGGUCGAUCGGUACCUCAACUUUGAAGCUAAGAGAGUUCCAGCAAUGGUUGUCUGCUUAGUGGAGAUUUUUAGUUCCUAAACUUUGUCUAGUUCACAACCCAUUAGGGAUGAGACUCCUGGGCCAUUAGCUCAGGUGGUUAGAGCGCACCCCUGAUAAGGGUGAGGUCCCUGGUUCAAGUCCAGGAUGGCCCAUUCGGUGUAGGGGGUUUAGCUCAGUUGGUAGAGCGCCUGCUUUGCAAGCAGGAUGUCAGGAGUUCGAGUCUCCUAACCUCCACUGACUACCAAAAUCCCCAUCUCCAAAACCUGGAGUAUGAACUCGUAUGGAUUGUGAUUUAGAUUUGUCCGCUAGAUGACCCUAGCUUCUUGUCAUUUUAAGGCAUGGAAAUAAUUCCAUGAUUUGAUUGAUAGGAUGCUGGGCUCGAUGCAAUGUAUUGAGAGAUCAAUGCAUUGUUUUGAUGUCUAGCCGAACCUUGACAACUGCAUAGUUUAAGUCUGGAAAGAAUAAAGCAUCUUUAUGGAUGCAUCAUUUUUUGUGUUAACGCAUGAAGGAGUGAUGUUAAUUCUAAAGCAAGAGCCGAGACUCCAGUAUGUUCUUUCAAAUGUGUCGAGCAUUUGAGAGUUUGAUUUUAAUUUCUAGUUUUAGGAGCUAUUUUAGUGUCUGACUUUAGAAAUUAGAAAAAUCUGUUUCAACAACAGCAAGCGUGCUGGAGAUACAUUGGUCAAGCUACAAAGGGCUCACGGCGGAUACCUUGGCACACAGAGGCGAUGAAGGA